rnacentral:rRNA from 1 species
GAUGAACGCUGGCGGCGUGCUUAACACAUGCAAGUCGAGCGAAUGGAUUAAGAGCUUGCUCUUAUGAAGUUAGCGGCGGACGGGUGAGUAACACGUGGGUAACCUGCCCAUAAGACUGGGAUAACUCCGGGAAACCGGGGCUAAUACCGGAUAACAUUUUGAACCGCAUGGGUCGAAAUUGAAAGGCGGCUUCGGCUGUCACUUAUGGAUGGACCCGCGUCGCAUUAGCUAGUUGGUGAGGUAACGGCUCACCAAGGCAACGAUGCGUAGCCGACCUGAGAGGGUGAUCGGCCACACUGGGACUGAGUCACGGCCCAGACUCCUACGGGAGGCAGCAGUAGGGAAUCUUCCGCAAUGGACGAAAGUCUGACGGAGCAACGCCGCGUGAGUGAUGAAGGCUUUCGGGUCGUAAAACUCUGUUGUUAGGGAAGAACAAGUGCUAGUUGAAUAAGCUGGCACCUUGACGGUACCUAACCAGAAAGCCACGGCUAACUACGUGCCAGCAGCCGCCGUAA